UAUGUGAUCGUCUCUCGCAUAUCAAUAAGCGGAGGAAAAGAAACUAACAAGGAUUCCCCUAGUAACGGCGAGUGAAGCGGGAAGAGCUCAAAUUUGAAAUCUUAAAGGGUUUCCCUUUACGAAUUGUAGUUUAAAGAAGUGUUUUCUGUUGAGGUUUUGGUAAAAGUUCUUUGGAAUAGGACAUCAUAGAGGGUGAGAAUCCCGUAUUUGACCUUUACUUUCAACUUUGUGAUACACUUUCAAAGAGUCGGAUUGUUUGGGAAUGCAGUCCAAAAUGGGUGGUAAAUUUCAUCUAAAGCUAAAUAUUGGCGAGAGACCGAUAGCGAACAAGUACCGUGAGGGAAAGAUGAAAAGAACUUUGAAAAGAGAGUUAAACAGUACGUGAAAUUGUCAAAAGGGAAGCGUUUGACACCAGUGUUGUUUUUCUGAAAAUCAAUUAAAGAACUGUUUAUGCUAAGUUGUUUAGACUUUAUCAGCUAACUGUUUAGUUUUGAGCUUUUCUUUAAUGCACUUUUCAGUUAACAAGUCAACAUCAAUUUCUUUUGCUGUAAAAAAGCUUGAGGAAGGUGGCUUGAGAUUCGUCUUAAGUGUUUAUAGCCUCUUGCCUAUGCAGUCGGAGAGAUUGAGGUCUGCAGCGUAGAUCCUUCGGGGCUAAAUGCAUUUGUGCUAAGUUAUAGCACUUUAUAGACAACUUGUUGACUAUGAUUUGUCUUGUAGCUUACUCGCUUAUGUUAUUUUACCUACGCUUAGGAUGUUGAAGUCAUCGUAUCGCGC
rnacentral:rRNA from 1 species